UCUCUCAACUUCAUUUGAUUCAUUUCUCAUUUCUCAGAACUCUCGUCUCUCCUCUCUCUCUCUCUCUCUGGUCUUUGUUUCAGAUAUUUGAUUUAUUAAAAUCUGCUACAAUUUUAAAGAGAAACAAGAAGAAAAAGAUUUUGGUUUAUUUAUUGCAAUUAUUGAAAUCUACUUCAAUUUUAAAGAGAAACAAGAAGGAAAAGAUGUCCAGGAGUUUUAUCAGUUGUGAGAUCCCGAUGGGUCAUUUUUAAUUUCUUAUACUUCAUCUCCUUCGUUUUUUUUUUUUGAAAUAUAUUUUGCUUGGUGAGGGGCACUGAAAAAAUGGCCGGAUCUGAAAAAAUUGUCGGAUUUGAGCUAGUAGGAGAGAUGAGGAGAGGGGGUGCGUUGGGGGUUAAACAUUUCUUUUUUUUUUUU